rnacentral:lncRNA from 1 species
AAAAAAGACUUUUAUUUUGCCGUGCUGUGUGACGUCAUAAGCCUGCGCCGCUCCUGCGCUGGGAUUCAGCUGGAGAAAGCUUAACAAGGAAAUACCUGGUUAUGCUUCAGAAGAAUCUUCAUCAAGAUCAGAUAUCAGUGAGGAUGAUUACGUGCCAGAUACUGAAGAGUCUGACAGUAACACUUCAGAAAAAGUAGAGAGUUUAGUAAAAAAGAUAAGUAAUAAUAAGAAAAAGGUAAAGUCAACUUCAAAUGUUCCAGCAUGUAAAAAAAGACGUGCGUCUCCUUCACAAUCCUCUGUAUCUGACAAACAGGACACUUCACUUCAAUCUUCUUCAUCAGGAGAACAUGAAGAAU